rnacentral:RNase_P_RNA from 1 species
AAGAGUAGGCGUAGCGGUUGCGGAACAGUUCAAAGCAGCUGUUCUGAGGAAAGUCCGGACUCCCGAAAGACCAAACUUGCUGGGUAACGCCCAGUACGAGUGAUCGUGAGGAUAGUGCCACAGAAACAUACCGCCGAUGAAUGAGGAGCGAGGUACAAAUUAAACCCUAGCCCCUAGCCCCUCUUACAGGUAAGGGUGCAAAGGUGCGGUAAGAGCGCACCAGCAGCGUCGAGAGGCGCUGGCUCGGUAAACCCCAGUUGGGAGCAAGGUCGGAGGAACUAUGGUUGGUCUUUUACCAGUUCCGCUAUUGGAGAACCGCUAGAGGCGUCUGGUAACAGGCGUCCCAGAUAGAUAACCGCACUUCACUUUUGCCAAUGCGCAAGCGUGAAUAACAGAAUCCGGCUUAUGUCCUGCUCUUUCCC